CAGUUCUUGUUGCAGACUCUCUAUGUGCUUCCUUGCUGAUCUUCUGGUUUGACUCUGUUCUAACUUCAGCUUCAGACUCUAAUAAGACUCCAGGCAUUUCGUGAUUCUGCUUCUGAAUCCAGUUCUGACAGCAGACCACAUUGGGAUCCCUGGGAAACCAGCUCCCUGGGAAACCAGUUGGGGGUACAUCUGUACUUCAGUUUUACUUAGUGUCAGGAGAUUGUUGAUGUUUCAGCAUCAGCAUCCAUAUUCACCACC